UACGAAGGGUGCAAGCGUUACUCGGAAUUACUGGGCGUAAAGCGUGCGUAGGUGGUUUGUUAAGUCUGAUGUGAAAGCCCUGGGCUCAACCUGGGAAUUGCAUUGGAUACUGGCAGGCUAGAGUGCGGUAGAGGAUGGCGGAAUUCCCGGUGUAGCAGUGAAAUGCGUAGAGAUCGGGAGGAACAUCCGUGGCGAAGGCGGCCAUCUGGACCAGCACUGACACUGAGGCACGAAAGCGUGGGGAGCAAACAGG
rnacentral:rRNA from 2 species